UACGUAGGGCGCAAGCGUUGUCCGGAAUUAUUGGGCGUAAAGAGCUCGUAGGCGGCCAGUUGCGUCUGCUGUGAAAUCCCGGGGCUCAACCCCGGGCGUGCAGUGGAUACGGGCUGGCUAGAGGCAGGCAGGGGAGAACGGAAUUCCCGGUGUAGCGGCGAAAUGCGCAGAUAUCGGGAGGAACACCGGUGGCGAAGGCGGUUCUCUGGGCCUGUACUGACGCUGAGGAGCGAAAGCGUGGGGAGCGAACAGG
rnacentral:rRNA from 1 species